rnacentral:rRNA from 1 species
GACGAACGCUGGCGGCGUGCUUAACACAUGCAAGUCGAACGGUAAGGCUCUUCGGGGUACACGAGUGGCGAACGGGUGAGUAACACGUGGGUGAUCUGCCCUGCACAUCGGGAUAAGCCUGGGAAACUGGGUCUAAUACCGGAUAGGACCCUGGGAUGCAUGUCAUGGGGUGGACAGAUUUUGCGGUGUGGGAUGGGCUCGCGGCCUAGCAGCUUGUUGGUGGGGUGAUGGCCUACCAAGGCGGCGACGGGUAGCGGGCGUGGGAGGGUGACGGGCCACGCUGGGGCUGAGAUACGGCCCAGACUCCUACGGGAGGCAGCAGUGGGGAAUAAUGCACAAUGGGCGCAAGCCUGAUGCAGCGACGCCGCGUGAGGGAUGACGGCCUUCGGGUUGUAAACCUCUUUCAGCACCGACGAAGCGCAAGUGACGGUAGGUGCAGAAGAAGGACCGGCCAACUACGUGCCAGCCGCCGCAGUAA